GGUUCAUAACCAAACUGAACAUUUGUCUGCUGCACCACCGACUUUAAGAUUGGGCCUGGUCUGGAAGGUGAACUGACAUACGAGUUUACCUUCCAGACCCUGGUAAGUAGAAGACCACCCUGAUUCUGUUUUUUUCAGCACAUAAUCUUAAAAAAAAUUGUCUGACAACCCAGUUUGCCUCCCUCAGGGCCAUCCAGCACUGGCUGGUAAAUGGACGUAUCAUCAGGGCCCCAAGAGUGCGUUGCUUCUGACCCCUGAAAUCUACAAUGCAACAUUUUACACUACCGACUUUAAGACUGGGUCUGGUCUGGAAGGUCAACUUGCGUACAAGUUGACCUUCCAGACCCUGGUAAGUAGAAUACCACCCUGAUCCUGGGUUUUCUUCAGCACACACUCUUAUAGCUAAAUUAGUUUUUUUCAGUUAAUUAAUGGGAAGGGAAAAUGUAUAACAUUCGCUGCAAAGACCCAAUUUUGUUCUCUGAGUAAUUUGGACCCAAACUAAAAUCGGUUUAGCUUCAGCAUAACAUUUGAAGUCCAUCCACCUCUAUAUCUCUUUCAGUAAUGUCUAAAAGUAAAAGGCUUCUUGCUGUUGGGUAUUAUACCAAAUCUUCAGAUGAAGAGUCCUGCUCAAGUGUCAUCCGUUCUGCUAACUCCUGCUAAUGUAUGUGUUCUCUGAGUGUUGUGUAGCUGCAGCAACAGGUGACCACCAUCCGUAACCAGCUUCAUCCUGCUCCCAGAGUAGUGAUACCCACACCUGAUACACAAAUACCAAUAAGCCAUGGAAAAACCAACAAAGGGCGUGCCUAAUGUCAGAGAUGAACGCUGCUCGGAACACUAAAUCAAAUGCUGACAACCUAGAGGACACACUGGAGACGUGCAUGUGAAAGCUGCCAGAUAGUGAAUCCCACUGCAGUGUAUUCCUAUGCUGAUCUCGGUGUCCUCGGCAAAAGGGGUCAUCUGUAUUACACCUGUGGAUGACACUUCCGGGUUCAUGGCAAGACUGCUUCCAAUGGGGUGUAUCAGCUAUCUGCCUCAAGUUGUGUGUGUGCGUGUCUGUGUGUGUGUAUAUGUAUACUUGUGAGCACCAUGACCAAUCAGCAAAAAUCAAGAAACUGGGACAUUUUGGUGGUCCUAUUCUGCAAUUUGGAAACAUCAAUGAUAAUGUGUGUUGACCAAAAUAUUGAACUUUUUUUUUAUGUAUUGUAGAUAUACACUCACCUAAAGGAUUAUUAGGAACACCAUACUAAUACUGUG